GACAAAUUUCGGGCCAGUGAAUAAUUUUGUGGGCUUGUAACUUUCAGGCAUAGCUAGCCCGUAUGGCUAGCAAAAUCUGGAAAUUAUUUCGCACACUGAAUAUUGCUACCAUCAAC